GGGAAUGUGGCUUAGUGGUAGAGUGUUUGCCUAGCACGCAUGAAGCCCUGGGUUCAAUUCCUCAGUACCA
rnacentral:tRNA from 1 species